rnacentral:lncRNA from 1 species
GUGCUUCUACUAUGAAGGAAACACCAAUUUAUUUAGUUUAAUUUAUAAAGUACGCCACACACAAAUCUUCAAGUUUCCAUGGAAUUGUGGGGUUUUUCUCAAUUCAAGAGGUGAGAGGUUCUUCUUUGGUAUCAUAUUGGAUAUUGUAGUAAUUAGCACCAGUGUAAGUGUUACCAAUGACAUCAGUUGUGACAACGUUCCCAUUAUAAAGAGUAUCUUUUUGAGUGAAUACGAAGGGAACAUCACACACGCCAUGGGACAUCAAUAGAUACACCGUCACCUUAGUCAUCGGUGGCACUUGAACUUGGUGGUUAACUUCCAUCAUGGUGACUGUCGUCUUGGUCUCUCCCCACUCGAUUCCUGUUUCGUAUUUGGAAGAUAUUUCGACUCCCGCUUUACCGAUUAAUGGAACCCCUACUUGGAAGGUGGCUUUGGUUUCAAGGCCUAACGUAAAAUAAGCUAGCCAAGUACUGGAACUGGUCUCUGUAUAAGAAAGUUUCACAUCGAGUGUGCUGGCUUGAGUGGUACGGUUAAUGGCAGAAUUAUUCGCCACAACACGGACUAUUUCGUUAUAGACUCGAGCAUUUUCAAUAUCGUAUCGGAGAUUAUAAAUCUGCCUUGACAACACAGGCUCUUGAACCAUUAAGAAGGCUUCUCUUGUUAUAGAAGGGACGGCUGCAUUAAGGCAAUUCGUCUUUCCCUCGGUCGUGAGGCGCUUGCAGAAAUUAUUGUUGCCCAAGUUGAGCAGAGCUAUGGUCUUGCUGUCGACUUUGAAGGCACUAAACAAAGUGUCCUUAUUGGUUCCUUCAGUGUCAUUAGAAUCCGCCCAAAUCCAAUUCGGGCUACGCCUCCAGAACCGAUCGGAAGAAAGCGGCUUGACCCGGAUGUCUCCAUUCUUCAUAUAAAAAACUUCCAUUGGCACAGAUCCAGCACCGACAUCCGCACCCGAGAAUUCUAAAUAUGGGUGACCCUCGACCUGGGUAAGACGAAGGAACAUAUCAUUGUUUCCUUUGAAAGCAACGUACCGGGGCAGAAUCACCAACGACUCCCAAUCAAUAACUUCGAAGAUAUCAUCGCCAUUAGCCGCAAAAUGAUUCUUGUUUGCCAACACUCCACGACCGAGUUCCGAUGUAGCCAAUGGCCAUAAGUAUAAAUAGCAUCCAGAUUGAACAUGGACAAAUCGACAAUUUUCAUAUACAGGGUCUUCAAAGAUAGGCUUGAACAAUGUGCAUGACUCCUUGGAUUGGUCUUCUUCCGGCUUAUCGGCGGUUAUAGUAAUCCAAUACUCCUCAUUUGGUUUUCCGGUGAUGGAAGGAUUAUGAGUUCGCUUCAAGUACUUGUUGGUGGUAGAGCUCCUUAUGUGCACCAGCCCAUCUUUAGCAAACUCCACUUCGAAUUUUGCAUUUGCGCUCACGACCUUUGUUUCGGUGAACUCGGCGUACCCCUUGUACUCUCCGUUGUCUUGUUUGGAGCCAAGGUAUGUUUCGGCGCCGGGGGAUUUGAGCACGAUGAACCUUGGCAAUGACAUUUUGAAUAACAAAGUAACUUUCUCAAUCUUGUGCUUAUGCUUUGGUAUACAUUAAGCCUCAAUGGCUCAGCUUUUUAUAGAUAAAACUUAAUUGCUCUUACCACGUUUUUGUAAGUCCAUUCCAACUAAUUAAUUAAUAUUUUAAUUUGUGUGAUUAUGCCUCUUUGCUAAGACAUGUUUUUAAUGUGUACCAAAAACAUUAACCAUUAUUCAAUUACUAUUUUAGAACCAUAUUUUUUUUAAAAUUUUAGAAAUGCAAUAAAACUUUAUUUCAAUAUAUAUAUAAUAUAUGUUAAAUUAAUAUGAAUGCUUAAAUGCUUUGAAAUUUAUAAUAUAUGAAUUAAUAAUGUAUUAAAAACUUAUUUAAAUAUAAAAAUAUUCUAAAUUGGAUUAUAUUAUGAAAUAUAUGAUGGAUUACACAAAUUAACAAGUUUUGAGAGGUAUAAUUUUUACUCAACUUCUUGUUGUUAUUAUAAACAUCGAUAAUGGCAGUAGAACAAUUGCAAAGUAAUAAGAAAAGAAAAAUAAGAACACCCUGAUUUUACAUAGAAAUUUUUUUGGGGAAAAAUCACGGCUAAAGAAGAAGAAAUUCACUAAUGGUGAAAAUCAAAUAAGGAGUUUCGACUACAUAUAUUUAAGGGUUGAAAAACCUUAUUCUAAUCAAAAUUAAAUAGAAGUAUAAUUGUAUACAGAUUUAACUUGUGCGGUAUGGCCCAUACCGCGAGAAUCCCUCGGUCCUUCAUUUCCACAACCCUUGGGGAUUCAGAUUACACAAUCUUUUAACACUUUUUUUUGUAGUCCAUUCAAAAAGUGAAAUUAUUAUUUAAUAUUUUAAUAGUGGUUUUUUAAAUUUUACAAGUGAAAUUAAAAAAAAUUAUCAUGCCUUUUAUUUAUUUUUUAGUUUUUAAAAUAUUUUUUUAGAAUAAAUAAUAAUUUGGCAAAUAAUUAAAAUUGAAAAGGACAGGGAAAGAAAAAAAUUCAAAGUUGAAACAGUGUAUUCCACGUGGGGUUUCUCCAUCAAUCAAUGACUCGCGAUUGCUUUUACUUUGGGAUAAACUAACUUUUAAUCUUUGAAUUUCAUAUUUUUUUAAAUUUAGUCCUUAACUUUUUUGGUUUACUUUAGUUUUAGAAUUUGAUAAAUUUUUUUAAUUUUAGGUCAUGUGAUGACAUUAUAAUAUGAUAUUGUACUAUGUUAUCACUUAAAAAAUAUAUUUUUCUUUCUGUUUUAGGAAUUUUUAUUUGUUCUUGUAACACGUUUUUUUAGUCUUGUUUAUACAAGUAACCUUAGUUUUACAAGUGAUUUUAUGAAUGAUCUUGUUGUCGUCCUCUCUAAUUUGGUUAAUGCUCUAAUCUUUUUUCGAUUUUUACUCGCCGCUUUGGAUCAUCCAUCGUUGAUUUUUUUAUCGCAUUAAGUGCUUGCAAUCACUCUAUAUAUGUCGUGCUUGAUUUGUGAUAAAGCCAAUUGUCAACAGGUCGGGUCAUGAUACUGAGACUAAAGUCUUUGUUGUGUUAUUUAAGCUUGUCUUUCACUAUCUAUGAUGGGUGUUUGUUAUUUUUUUCUCUAAAUUAUAUGAUUCCCUUUAUUAAUUAAUAAACUUACCUUUAAAUAUAUAUGCUUUUCUAUAAAAAUUAGAUAAUAACAUCACUCCAUUUUAGAAUACAAAAUCACGGAUCAAAUUUGUGAAAUUCUAGUAUUAAUGUAGACAACAACAAAAAAUCAGAGAUUAGGUUGAGAUAUUAUUUAAUUUGCUGGCAGGUAAUUUGUAGGAGGCAGAAAGAAAAAUCAAAAUAGAAACAGUGAGUAUUCCGCGAGAGUGAUCAGUGACGAUUUGGAUUAGAUCUCAAUUAAAACGCCUAUAUUACAUUUCACGUGUUGUGUAAAAAUAAUACUUUAAUCAUGUUUUUCGAAUUAGAUCGAUAGUUAAAUAAAUUAAAUUAUCGGUUCAUUUGAUAUGUUCGGAUUUUCGAUUCAUUAUCAAUUUUUAGAAAAGAAACGCCAAAUGGAAACAGUGAGUAUCGAGUGAUCAAUGAUGCGUUUUUCCAACUGCUUUUGCUUUUCCUGAGUGAUCAUCUUGCUGCUUUCACCUACUUUUCUACCAUAUUUCUCUUCUGCUUUACCCAAACUCUGUUGAAUCUCACCUUCUUUCAUGCAUUCUUCUGUUUUUGAUACCGACACUGCCUCGAGAUUAUUACGUAGAAAUUUUUUUUGGGAAAAACCACCGCUAGAGAAAUUGAAUAAUACAAAAAAAGUUUCGACUACAUGUAAGGGUUAAAAAAAUCUUAUUCUAAUUAAAAUCUAUUAGAAGAAAUAUAAUUUUACAUGGAUUUAAUUUAUAUGGUAUGGUUCAAAUUGCUGGGACUCAACCCUCGAUCCUUCACCUUCUCAAUUGUUGGGGAUUCAAAUCACACAAUCUUUAAUAUUUUUCUUUUUUAACAUUAAUAUUAGUAGUUUUUUUUUCUACUCUAAAUUAUUCAAGUAAUUAAUGAAAAAAAUGUAAUGCUUUUAAAAAUGGAUUGAUGAUUCAACUAGUUAAAUGGUAAGUUUAAUCAAUUCAACUUAUAUUUUUUUAAUUUAAAUUUAAUUAAAAUAUUAUAGAAUUAUAAAAUUCGAUUUAACUAAUUUUUAAAAUUAAUUUAAUCGGUCGACGUACGUCAUAAAUUAACUGGUUUUUUUUGUUUUUUUGGAUCAAUUUUUUAUUUUACCGAUUUAGUUUUGAAAAUACUUUGGUAAACAUUUUAGACAGAUGGAAUGGCAUCUGUUCUAAGGAGAAAGAAUUAAUGUACGAAACAAGGAUAUUAUCCAUUUCUAAUAGUUUUAUGCCACAUCAGUAUUCUUAUCUUAAAUUUGAGAAUUUUAAUUUGGAUUUUAUUUUUUUAGGAUGAAAAUGCUGAAAUUCAAGAUGAAAAUGCUAAUGUGACAUGAGACUAUUAAAAAAAGAAUACAAAUGACAUGGCGUUACUGUUUUAUACCAUCUUUUUCUAUUUUCUAAGUUGAGUGUUUUGAUUGAUGAGUGUUACGUACAAAUGAUGUUUGUAUUUGCGUUUGUACAAGUGUUACUUUUUUCUUUUUCUUUUUUUUUUUUGUUCAGUGUACAAGUGUUACUUGAACUAAGAAAUGUUUGCAUGAAUGAAAUUUGAAAAGUUUUGUUUUUUAUGGCCAGAAAAAAGACAAACAUGUUUUAUAGUUUAUCUUAAAAAACCAUCAAACAAUUGAAGAAAAGCAUACCACACGCCCAGCAUCAUCAGUAAAUAAAUAUAAAAAAAUAUUGGUAAAAAGAUGCAUAUUGAGUAAAUUAAUUAUUAAUUAUUAAAUAUUAAAUAUUAAAAUAAUAUAGUAUAAAUAUUUUUAAAAAAUUUUAAAAAUUAAUAGGACGAGUCUAAAAUGGACUUGGAUUAGUCUUUAGCAAAUAUAGAUGGGUUCGAGUAAAAUUUUAAGUUUAUAUUUCGAGUUGAACUAAACUUGAACAAAUAUGAAGUAUAAUAAUAUCAUACUUACACUCAACUUAAUCUAACCCAUGAACGCAUUUAACCGUGUGCUAUAUUUUUCUUGAAUUGUUUGAUGGUUUUUGUAAAAUAAAUUAUAAAAUAUGUUUGUUCUUUUUCUAUAUAUCUUCAGUUUUCAGUCGCGCAAACAUUUCAUAAUACAAGUAACACUUGUACAAACACAAACACAAUCAACACUUCCUAGUCUCACACAUACACGUAACACUCAUCAAUCAACCACCCAACUUAGAGCAGAUGGCAUUCCAUCAGUAUAAAAUGUUCAUCAAAGAGGAUACUUUUCGAUAUUUUCAAAAUUAAAUCAAUAAAAUUGAGAAUUAAUAAAAGUAUUAAUUUGACAAGAUAAAAAAUUUAUUUUAACCUAUAAUGUGGGAAUCAAUACAAAUUAAUAAAUCGUUUUUAAAAUUAAUUAAAUUAUGUUUUAUAGUUUUAUAAUAUUUUUAAUUAAAUUUGAAUUAAAUAAAUAAAUCGAAUUGAUUGAGUCUAUAAUUUGAUUAGUUCAAUUAUUGAUCUGUUUCGAAAAACAAUACAUUUUUGUCUUUAAUGACUUGAAUAAUUUAGAGUAAAUAACAAGGAAAUGGAAUAGAACAAAAUUGAAUAAAAAUUAUACCUCUCAAAACUUGUUCCAUCAUAUAUUUCAUAAUAUAAUAAUAUAUAAUCCGAUUUACAAUAUUUUUUAUAUUUAAAUAAGUUUUAAUACUUUAUCAAUUCGUAUAUUAUAGAAUUUCAAAGCAUUUAAGCAUUCAUAUUUAUUUAACAUAUAUUAUAUUUUUUUAAAUAAAGUUUGAUUGCAUUUCUUAAUUAAAUAAAAAUUUUAAAAUAAUAAUUGAAUCAUCGUUAAAGAUUGGAUGUAUUAGGAUUAAGUAGACCCCCAUAGAGGUCAACACAUAUCCUAUUAUAGGGUCGACACGUGUUUCCUGAACAGGAGUUCUCCUGCAUGGUGAUGUUAAGCCAUGCAGGCAAACUAUAUAUCAAUGAGCUAUACUUUGCUAGCCGGGUUGUGGGUUGGUAUGCGAACCGGCUCGAUUUGAUAAUUAAGUAGAGGUGAAUACCAUAACAAUUUGUCUCCUACUUGGUCGAAGAAGAAUUACAAAAUGACCCUUUUGAGGUCUGGUAUGUGCGUGACAUGGGGACUUUGAAUGAAGCUUGUUAGGUACACCUCUUGUAUAAAACUUGUCGAUUACGCUUUGCCGCUCAAUAGCUCGCUGAUAUAUAGUUCAUCUGCAUGGGUUUGUACCACCAUACAAGUGAAUUUAUAUUAAAAAAAUACGUGUUGAUCUUAUAAUAGGAUACGUAUUAACCUGUAUGGGGUCUACUUAAUAUUAAUAUGUCAAAUUAUGAAACUAUGACAUAUAAAUAAUAAAUUGGCUUUAAGAAUAGGACACACAGAAACACUAGUAUAAACGUUAGAAUCGUUCAAUAUCCCAUUGAAUAUUCAUGGUUCACCUACAUUUCAAUCAUUUGGGAGAUACCAAAUAAUGUACCAUUUACUUUUUUAUAAUUUGGAUCACACAAUAAUGAAAUUUAUUGAAAUAUUAAAUGAUAGAAGAAAAUCAUAUCCAUUAUAUUAGUCAAUGGAUGAUUGCAAGGGAGUCUCUCGUUGUGAAUUUGACAUGGCAAUUACAAUGACAGAUAGGCAUACACCGUGGAAAAAAAGUUUAGGUUAAAAUAUGUCAUAAGUUAUUAUACUUGUCAUGUAUUUGGAAUUUAGUCCAUAUUAGUUAAUGGAUGGUUGUAAGGGAAUAUUUCAAAUUUCAAAUUUCGAAAUUCAAGUCCAAUUGUUAAUAAUUUUGUUUCGCUAAUUUUCUUUGUGUGACAUUUCAAAAUAUCAAAAAUACUCAUUUAGAAGCAAUGUAUUUAAUUAAAAUAAUCUAAACAGAGUUAACUGUAGCGACGUAAAAAUUUUAGUUUCGCUUGGUCGCUAAUUGUGGCGAUUUAUUAAAAAAGUUUAAAAUUUGACAUUUGAUUUUUUUUGAAAUAAACAGGGAGUCGCCACCGAUCCUCUUUCCUAGGUGUGAUCGUACACCUAUUAGAUCUCUUAUCAAAACAAAUAAAAGGCUAAGUUUAGGUCUACGUUAAAAUCCAGAGAAAACUUAGGGUUCGGGAGUCGGUUACGAGCGAGGAAGGUAUUAGCACCCUCGCGACGCCCAAAAUUGGUAUCUUAUAAACAAGUGUUGUCUUAAUUUUCAAAAUUGCGAGUUCAAAGUAACAUUGAAUCGUGACCGAGUAAAACACGAGAAAUUUCAAGCUUCGUUUUCUUUUGAGAAGGAUAUACCGUUUUAACACGAGUCGAUUGAUAUCCACCCAACAUAGCGAUGAAAUCGAUGACAUAGUGUUUAAAUCGGUACGUUGCCUUGCUUAUUGAAAUAAAAACACGAAUAUGUUCGAAACAAUGUAAAGCAAAUUAAUAAAUAAAAAUAAAUAAAAGACAAAUCUAGAGGUACAUUGAAGCAAUAUAAAUGUGACGAUAAUAUUAUAAACAAUAAAGACAUAUAUGAUACUAGAAUUAAAUAUGAAAUGGAAAUAAUGAAUGUAGACACAUGAUAUUAAGAGUAUGUAUGUAAACUAUACAUAAUGUUUGAUAGUAAAAAUAUAACUAAUAAUGUUAAAAUAUAUACUUAAUAUAUACCUAUAUACAUAUGAAAAAUGUGUGCACAUGCCGUAUAUGAAAAAUAUAUACAUAGUAAUAUAAAAUAAUAAGUGAUAAUAGUGAAAAUAAUGGGUAUAAUAAUUAUAAUGAUAUACGAAAAUAAUACUAUAUAUAAAAUAUGUAUACAAGUAUAAUAAAAUAUAUGUCUUGAUGUUAAUAACAAACAUAGUAGGAAUAAAAUAAAUGUAAUAAUGAUAUAUACACAAUAUGGUAUUAAGAAUAUAUAUAUAUACAAUAUAGUAUUUAAAAAAAUAUAUACAUAAGAUGGUGUAAAAAUAUGUACAUGGAAAUGUAUAAGAAAUAUAUAUAUAAUUAGUAAUAUUAAAAAUAUAUAUAACAUAUAUAAAACAUAUACAAUACAUACAUACCUUAGAAAUGAUAAUAAUAACAAGAAAACUAUUUUGUACACUAUACACAUACUUAUACACAUAUAUAUAUAUAUAAAUAAUAGUAUUAGCAAUAUACAAUAUAAUAUUAGAAAUAUACGUAUAAUAGUAUAAGAACUAUAUAUAACUAGUAAUAUUAAAAUACAUAUAAUAAUAUAUAUAAAAUAUAAUAUUAAAAAUUUAUUUACAUAACAUAUAUGAAAAACAUAUAUAAUAUAAUAUUAAAACAUUUACAUGAUAUACACAUAUGGUUUCAAGGUUAAAUACAUAUUAAAAAAAAUAAUAAUAUUACAUAAAUAUAUACUUAUAUAUAUUAAAGCUAUGUACAUAUAUAGUAAAAUGCAUGGACAAUACAACAUUCAACAUAUACAUAAUAUAUAAUAAAAUGAUAAUAUACAUACUAUAUAAAUUACAUAUAUAACAAAACAUGUACUACGAUGAUAAUAAUAAUAAUAAGGAUAAUAAUAAUAUUGAUAUAUAAAGACAAAUAUAGCAUUAAAACAUUAAAAUAAAAUAAUUAAAAGACUAAAUACAAAUGCAUACAUACACAUGCAUAUAUAAAUAAUUAUACAUUAAGACAUGCAAUAAACACAUUUAAUUAUAUAAAUAUUAAAAUCAAUAAAUAACAUAAAAUGAAAGCGGGUAAAUUGAAAAUAAAACAAUAAAUUGACAAAGAGGACUGAAUUGAACAUAAAACACCAUUUUGGGGCAAAAUUUAAAAAUAAGUAAACAGGGAAGGACUUAUUAGAACACGCGAGGAACGUGAAAGGACCAAAAAAGCAAUAUUACCUUAUCCUCAAAACGCAACGUGGCAGUAAGGACUAAAUUGAAAAAACGUGUAAGAUUCCAGGGCCGAAUUAAAAUAACAAAAAACUCAAUUGCAAGAUGUUUUAAAAGCGGAGGGGUUAAACGCGCAAAUAACCCCUCUCUGAAAAAACACGCGGAUCCUGUUGGAGCGGGUCGGGUCGACCCGACCCGUGUUCAAAACGACGUUGUUUUAUUAUUAAACAGGGGGGACCAAAACGGUGCGUUUUGGUCCCUUAUAAAAGUUAAAAAAUUUUAAAAAAAUUCAUUUGAGACUUGGGGCGGAAAAAAAAAAGAGAGAAAAAAGGGAGAGGGAGGGCCCGGAGCGAUUUCCGGACAGAGGGGAGGGUGUCGGUCCGAUCGCCGGACCGUCGCCGGCGCCGGCCAACGCACGCGGUGGCCGGAAAGGUAAAUUUUUUUUUGUUUAUUAUAUGUUAUUUAUUUAUUUUAUUAGUUUAUUAGAUUUUUAUGUGUAUAGGAGAUAAAAUUAAUUUUAAAAUGAAAUAAAAAUGAAAAAGAAAUAACCUUUAGUUUUUAACUUCUGAUUCUUCGAUCUUUGCUAUUUUCUUGCUUAAUCUGAUGCUAUUCUUGUAUAUGGAUAUAGGCAGAAUCCAGGGUUCAAUAUUUCUUUUUCUGUUUCUUUUUCUAAAGGGGACCCCUUUACAGUUUUUUUAUUUGGGUUUUUAUAACCCUUUUUCGCCUAUUUUUUAUUGCUUCUGUCUUGUCUGAUUGCAGGGAAUGGGCAUGGACGGUGGAGUGUGUGAUGGCUCAGCAUGCGCGGGGUGGCCGACAAGGUGGAGCAGUGUCAGACGCUUGGGGGCGUGGUGGCCAAGGGCAGAGGGGCGUACGGCGCUAGUAGGGGGCAAGUGGGGGGUUUGGUUGAUUAGGGUUUCUGUUUGGGUUUGGGGUUGUAAGUGGGCUAGGUUUAGGUUAGUGGGUCCGAUGGGUUUGGAAUUUAAAAAUGGGCAAAUGGGUAAUUGGAUUUAGCUGAAUGUGAUUGGGCUUUGUGGAUUAGUUUAGGUUUGUAAUCGGCCCAAAAUUGGCCUGUAACAUUAACAAUUGAAGUUGAAUUUUGAAAUUUAAAAAAUAUAGAUUAAAUUCCUAGAAAUAAAAAUACAAAGACUAAAUUUCAAAUUUGAAAAGAGUAUAGAAACCUAUGAUAUAAUUUAACCAAAAGAUUACAAUGCGGAGAAAGAGGUCGAUUCUAGACGUAAUAUAGACAAAUAUGAUGUAAUACCCUACACCUAGCCUAAACAUGAUGUAACACCCUACACCUGGCCUAAACGUUAUGGCCGAAUCUUGAGGAAUUACAAUAACUUAUUAAAAAGUUGAAAUCAUAUUCUUGUAGUAAAACAAUGUUAUCUUUGAUAAAUUGUUUUUUUUUCCAGUUUUAGGGAAAAUUUUUGUUAAAACCAUUUAUUUUCAGAUUAAAUGAACACUUCAUUUUGCAGCGGAGUUUUCUAAGUUAUAAAGUUUUUAAAAUCGUGGUUUGAUUUGUAAACAAAUAGUUUUGCAUAUAGAAAUAUUGUUGGGGAUUUAGGCACACUUUAUCUAGACGAAGUAUGAACUUCAGCCUGAACUUAAACAACAAUGUAAUAUAUUUGGAUGAAGAAUGAAGAAAUAAGAGCUGAGUCUUGAGCAAUAAGGCUCGUAGCUUGUGGAAGAAACAAACAGAUUUUGCAAAGGAAAACAAGAACAGAAAUGAAAGCAAAAAAUGGAGCAUAAAUUGAAUGAAAUUCAAUAUUUUUCAUUAAGAAGAAACAUUGGCAUAUAGCCAUUAUAUAUAUCAGUCAUUGAUUGAUCAAAACAAGACAAACAUCACCUAAUGCUUACCUAAUACCACUAGUUACAUGGAACACAUAAACAAAGCUGAUUUGUCAGCUCAAUCACCACCUAAUUACAUCAAUCAUGAAUCUAACAUAGUUCUAAAUGAACUAGAAUUCAUUACACCAACUAAGGUAACAAAACAAAACAAAAUGGAACUAGAUGGUAGUAACUGCACUCGAUCUUACUGCUCCUCGAUGGCUUGGUGUGCAUAGCCAUCCUCUUGAUGCUGCAUGCUGACCAAUCUUCAACACUCCUCCUUGGUUAGCAUGUUGCAUACUCCCAUUUGCUUUCUUAGUUUGAUAAACCUUGACACUCUAAGGGCUUUUGUGAAGAUAUCAGCAACCUGUUCCUCUGAAUUGCAAUAAAUCAACUCCACCUCUCGAGCUUGUUCUAUCUCCCUUACCACAUGUAGCUUGAUGCUAAAAUGUUUGGUUCUACCAUGGAAGACAUGAUUCUUUGCAAUUGCAACAGCAAGCAUGUUAUCACAAUAGAUCUCUGUUGCUUCCCUUUGAUGUAGGUUUAGAUCAGCAAGGAUUUUCCUUAGCCAAAUGGCUUGGUUGACUGCUCCAGCAACAGUCACAUAUUUAGCUUCUGCUGUUGAUUGAGGCACCACAUUUUGCUUCUUCGAACUCCAGCAAAACAUUGCUGAACCAAGUGUAAAUGCAUAACCUGAAGUGCUUUUCAUGUCAUCCUUUGUACCAGCCCAGUCACUGUCAGUGUAGCCUAACAGCUUCAGAUCUUCACUUCUGCUAAAUUGUAAUCCAUAGCUCAAGGUGCCUUUGAUAUACCUGAGCACUCUUUUUACUGCUCGAAAAUGCUCUUCAUUACAACAGUGCAUGAACCUUGAGAGCAAACUUACAGCAAACAUGAUAUCUGGUCUGGUUGCUGUCAAAUACAAUAAGCAGCCAACUAAACUCCUAUAGGCAGGCUCACUGACCUGUUCAUGAUCUCCUUGACUCGAUAGAUUCAUUCCAACAGCCAUAGGUGUGCUUGUUGGCUUGCAAUUCUCCAUAGAGAAUUUGCUUAGAAUUUUUGCAGCAAAUGUCUUCUGUCCCAAUAAGAUUCCACUGUAAGUUUGUUACACCUCCAUUCCAAGAAAGUAAGUCAUUUGCCCUAAAUCUGACAUUUCAAACAUGUCUUUCAUUUUGGCCUUGAAAUCAGCCAGUAUGUUCUGGUCUUCUCCUGUCACUAAGAGGUCAUCAACAUAAAGGGACACAAUGAGCUGUGUUUCAACUUGUUCUUUUUUGACAUAGAGUGUUGGCUCACUCAUGCUUCUUUGAAAUCCCAAGCUGAGCAGGUAGCCAUCGAUUCUGCUAUACCAGGCCUUUGGUGCCUGUUUUAAGCCAUACAAGGUUUUCUUGAGCCUGUAGACCAUGUCUUCCUUAUCUAUCACUAUGAAGCCUUGAGGUUACUCAACAUAGAUCUCUUCUUCAAGAAAGCCAUUAAAAAAAGUAGACUUCACAUCAAGCUGGUGGAUUUUCCACUCCAUCUGAGCUGCUAAGGCAACUAAUAGCCUAAAUAUGGUGUCUAACCUGGCUACUGGUGCAAAGGUUUCCAAAUAGUCCAGGCCAUACUUUUGGCUAAAACCCUUUACAACUAGCCUGGCCUUCAACUUGUUCAAGCUGCCAUCUGUAUUGUGUUUGGCUCGAUAGACCCAUUUCACUCCAAUGACCUUCCUGUUGGUUGGUCUUUCAACUAAUUCCCACGUUUGGUUCUUUUCAAUCAUGAUCAUCUCAUCAACCAUUGCUUGUUUCCAACCUUAAUGUGCUUCAGCAUCUUCAAAGCAGCUUGGUUCUUCUUGUGCAACAUGAGCCCUCUCAUAAAUCUCAGCCAAGGUCCUUGUAACCCUGACUGGUUCAUCAUCAAUAUCCAUAUCAGGAACAUUUUGAUCAGAUUCAAGCUGAUCUGCCAUGAGUUCUUCAGAAAUAUCCUCAGGUUCAUUUGUUUCCCAGUUCCAACAUACCUUUUCAUCAAAGAUCACAUCUCUACUUACAUGGACUUUGUUUGUUGAAGGAUCUAGGAUCCUAUAGCCUUUCUUGACCAUGCUGUAUCCCACUAAAAUGCCAGCUUGAGAAUUUUUGGACAGUUUGUCCCUUUUUACACCUGGUAUAAGGGUGUAGCAUAGGCAACCAAACACUUUUAGAUGAGCCAAAGAUGGCUUGAACCCGAACCAGGCCUCAAAUGGAGUUUUGUAAAUCAAGGCUUUAGUUGGAAGCCUGUUUUGAAGGUACACAGCAGUGUUGACUACUUCAGCCCACAUAGUCUUGGGCAAAUUCUUUUGAAAUAGGAGACAUCUAGCCAUAUCCAUCAGACUUCUAUUUUUCCUUUCACUCAUCCCAUUCUGCUGAGGUGUAUAAACAUUGGUGAACUAAUGUUUGACACUAGCAUCAUUGCAAAGAGCUUGGAACUGAGCUGAGGUACACUCUGCUCCAUUAUCUGACCUGAUGGUCUUCAAUUUGCAGCCUGUUUCUGUUUCAGCUGUAGCUUUAAACUUCAAGAAUACUUGAGCUACCUCAGACUUGUGCUUCAAAAAGAAAAUCCAACAAUAUAUGGUACUAUCAUUAAUGAAAAGAAUGAAAUACCUAUUGCCAUUGAGUGAUUCAAUUUUCAUGGGGCCACAUACAUCAGUGUGCACUAGUUCCAACUUGUUUGAUGCUCUCCAAGUUGUGUUUGCAAGAAAUGGGAGUCUGGCUUGCUUUCCCAUCUGACAGACUUCACAAACAUCUUCAUUUUGAACUGACUUGGUAAAGUUUUCAACCAUCUCCUUACUGACUGUAAUAGCCUAAAUUUGACCGGGCUUUAAAACCAAAAAAAUAAAUAAAAAUUUAUUUAAUAGUCCAUUAAAAGUCCAGGUUACAAAGCCCAAACAGUGAGGCCCAAUGUCUAAACAUAACAGACCGAUCCAAACCCCACAUCGGGCCCAAAUUCUAAAACACGUCACAACCAAUACCCGUGUAACCCAAAUACACCCGAAGCCCAACACAUACACCAACCCAAAUUCAAUCGUGGCCCAAAUCUUAGCAGGCCCAAUAAGCCCCAAACACAUGGACUCCAAAUCAGAAGCUAGGGUUUCCAGCAAACCCUAGCGCCGCAAGCACCCAUCGUCAAGCCCUUGCGUCGCAACCCAACAUCCAGUCAAUGCCCGAUCGGUGCCGUAAUCCUCGGAAGUACCUGUAAAAAAGGAAAGAAGAACGACAGAGCAUGGCAGAAAUAGCAAGAAAUUGAAAGAAAAUACUUACCUAAUCUGUAACUCUAAAAACAAUGGCUAUAAAAAACUCCUUUGAAACCUUUGUAACGAUACGCAUACAGGAACUGAAAAAAAGAGCAAAUACAAACAGUUUUUUUCGAAAAGGUGAAUCUUCUAUUUUAUUUUUUAUUUUUCAUGUUCAAAGCAUAUACAUACACAAACAGUUUGAUAAAUAGCUCUAAAACGCGAAAAAGGGUUUUACCUUUCAUUUUUGUGACAAAAAUCGAGGUCUCUAACCUCCAAGGGUCACACACGACGGCGUUUAGGACGACGGGUGGGCGCGUAAGGCGCGUGAACCACCUGAUGAUGGAGGUUUGGCCAGAGUUCCGAGGGCCCCUUUUCAUUCCUCUUUCAGAGGAUUUUUUUUAAUUUUUUUUUAAACACGAAUAGAAAUGAAAUUUUAAAGUUUUUUUUUGUAUUUAUAAGCUUCCCGAACGACAUCGUUUUGGGGUGAUCGUUUAGUGACCAAAACGACGUCGUUUCAAGGCCUCAAGAUCCGCGUGUUGACCCGAACCGGGGGAAGAUCCGCGCGUUUCUGAUAUUCGGGGAAAUAUCCCAAUUGGUCCUUCCGUUUCUUUCACUUUUGUAAUUAAAUCCAAUUUAUUUUUUUAAUUUGGCCCAGAAAUUUGUCUUUCAAUCCAAUCUAAUCUUUGGGGCCACUUUAGAAUGAAUAUGGAACGACGUCGUUCCUUGGGAAUAGGGCAUUUUGCUCGAUGAGUCCUUCACCCUUGGCGCACAUUUCAUUUAAAUCCUAGAUUCAGUUUUAUUUUUCUAAUUUCGUCCCUGUAAUUUUAUAAAAUUUUAAAUUUAAUCCUAUGUGUUUUUUUUGAUAUUAUAUAUUACUUGUCUUCUUCUAAACCUAUAUAUGUUUUAUUAUAUAAUUAUACAAUUAUUUUCACCUAUUAUUCAUUAUGUAUUAAUCCUUAUAUAUAUACAUUAGUUUUAUUAUUAUUAUAUAAUUUAGUAAAUGUUAGUUUGAAAUCAUUAUUAAGUAAUAUGUUUUUAAAUUUGUAUUAUUUAUUAUAUUAUUACUAUAUUGUAUAUAUAUUUAUCUUAAAUUCCUUUUUUACAUUAAAUUAUUUUAAUAAUAUUGUUUCAUUCAUUAUUUUUCAUAUAUAUUAUUUAGUGUAUUCUAAAUCAUUUUAUAAAUGUAAAAAUUGUUUUACUUUUCUAUAUUAUUACUUUUCAUAUAUUAUUUCAUGUAUUAGACAUUUCAUAUAUUUUCAUUAUUUUAUAUUAUUAUUUAUAUAUAUUAUUAUCCUUAACUAUUAUAUUAUAUUAAUCAAUUACUUAUAUACUAUAUAUUAUGAUUUUAAAUCCAUAUACUUUUAUAUUAUAUAUUAUAUAAUUAUUUUAUUUAAUACGUAUAUUAUUUUUUUAUAUAUUUUUAAAUAUUAUGUUUGUAUUAUUAACUUUUUUUAAAAAAAUAUGUAUUAAUCCUUUUAUUCUUUUUAAAUACCAAAGGUUGAUUUUAAAUCAUUAUUAAGUGAUGUUUAUGUUGAUAUAUACAUAUUGCCAUUAUUACCUUUUUUUAUGAUAUUUUUUGUAUGAAUAUUAAAUUGUAUAUCAUGCAUCAUUUUUACUAUCAAUAGGUUUAAAUAUAUGAUGAAUUACAGGUUUAUGUGUUUUUACUUAUUCUUCUUAAAUAUAUAUCGUGUUUUAUGUAUAUUUUACUUAUUUAAAAUUUGCCAUGUUUCUUAUAUGUAUGAUAUUUAUGUUAUUGUGUUUUUAUUUACCUAUUAUUAUAACAUUUUAUCUCGUAUGUUAUGUUAAUAUGCUCCUGCAUGCAUUGAUUUUAAAAAACGAGACUCUAAAGUUUUCAAAAAAAUAAAGGCAAUGCUUGGUGUUUGAAAAUUUCGGGAAAAGUAGUGCCCUAACUUACUGGGUUGCAAUUUUUCUCGUUGAGUUUGAAUAGUCAAGCACCCUUCUAAGUUUUUAAGGUUUUCAAAAUACGAGCAACUGUUUUGGAAUUUCAAAGCGUUGCGUCCUAACUUACUGGAUGUGGCGUUUUGUCAUUUCGAGAUAGAGAUUUUCAAAAAAGCUAGUUUAGUUUCGAAUGUCUUAAAAAUAUUGUGUCCUAACUUAAUGGAUGAGAUAUUUUGAUUCGUUUGAUACAAGUGAACCCCAAUUUUCAAAAUCAAAAUAUUCUAAAGAGGAUUGCAUCUUAAAAUUUUUAAAUUUCCGAUUUUAAAGACAUUUGAUAAUUAAUUAGGUACCAAUUUUUGGGCGUUUCGAGGGUGCUAAUCCUUCCUCGUACGUAACCGACUCUCGAACCCGUUCUUUUUACUUCGUAGACCAAAACUAAUAAUUUAUCGGUGAUCAAAUCACACCUAAAAAGAUUGGUGGCGACUCUCGUUUUCGUUUUUUAAGUCGAUUCCCAUUUUCCAAAACCCGAUUUUAAAAAUGGUUUCGACACUGACCAUUUGAGCCAUCGAUCUAAAGUUGGCAUGACCAAGUCUUUGAUGCCAAAGCUUGGAAUCUUCUGUUGAGGCAACACAGGCUAAGUGUAAGUCACCUGACCAGUUGACUUCAAAACAUUUAUCAGUCAUACUGACUGUCAUGAGGCUUGUUCCAUUUGAAUCAGCAUUUUGGCACUCCUGGCCCUUAAACACAACUGAGUAGCCCUUUUCAAGCAGUUGAGCAAUGCUGAAAAGGUUCCUGUCAAUCUCAGGUGCCAGCAGCACAUUUUUUAUGAUUUUAUCACUUGUGGAAGUGCAUAUUAGCACAUCCCCUUUUUUUUCAGCCUUAAUAAACUGACCAUUCCCAACUUUUACUUUGGUUUUGCAACUUCUGUCCAAAGUCUUAAAAAUAGUUGCAUCUAGUGACAUGUGAUUAGUGCAACCACUGUCCAACAGCCAUCCGUUUGGGCCCUUGCUCUGACCAGGUAAGCAUGAUACAGCAAAGACCUGUUCUUUAUGGUCACUGCUGUCUUCAGCCAUUCGAGCUUCAACAUCCUUAUGUUGUGCUUGGUUUUGCCAAGGUCUGCCUUUUUCUUUACAGACCCUUUCAACAUGGCCCUUUUUUCUUGCAAUGUUGACACAAGGCAUCUGGUCUGAACCAACAUUUGGCCUCUAUAUGACCAGGCCUUUUACAAAAUCUGCAAAGUUGAUCUCCUCUUCUUGCAGCAUCAGGCUUAGGCCUACUUCUCCAGUUCUUCUUGCCUUUAUAGGCUGAGGUGCUCGAGGCUGCUUUGGCCUUGGCUUGGAAAGCACCCUCCUGGUGCUCUUCUAUCCUGCUGGCUCUCCUUUGUUCCUGAGCAUAGAGGGAAUUAAUGAGCUCAGUUAGGGAGAUGCUUGAAAGAUCUCUCGAAUCCUCCAGGGAUGAGAUUUUUGCCUCAUAUCUUUCAGGCAAUGUUGAGAGCACCUUCUCCACAAUCCUUGCCUCACUAAACUGUUCUCCUAGCAACCUUAUGUUGUUCACAACAGCUAUGAUUCUAUCUGAGUAAUGCUUCAUUGUCUCUUCCUCCUUCAUCUUCAAAUUUUCAAAAUCUCUUCUUAAGUUCAACAAUUAUUCCUGCCUUGUCCCCUAUGUGCCUUGAAACUCCUCUUUAAGCUUGUCCCAGGCCUACUUUGGAGUCUCACAGGCCAUGAUUCUGGUAAAAUAAACAUCAGACACACAGUUCUGAAUACAAAACAUGACCUUAUGCCUUUUGGUCCACUCAUCUGCGUGUUGCCUGAUUUGAGCCACUGUGGGAUUGGCUCUGAGUGGAGCUGGCUCUGCAUCAGAGUUCACAACUUCCCACAGAUCGAAGGCCUGUAGGUAAGUCCUCAUCUUGACAACCCAUAUGUAGAACCCUUCACCAUUAAAGACUGGUGGUGCUGCAAGAGAAAAGCUUGAUGAAGCCAUUCAGUUUAAGAUUCAACUACAACAGGUCCUCUAAGAUGAAAGCUCUAGAUACCAAUUGUUGGGGAUUUAGGCACACUUUAUCCAGAUGAAGUAUGAACUUCAGUCUGAACUUAAACAACAAUGUAAUAUAUCCGGAUGAAGAAUGAAGAAAUAAGAGCUGAGUCUUGAGCAACAAGGCUCGUAGCUUGUGGAAGAAACAAACAGAUUUUGCAAAGGAAAACAAUAACAGAAAUGAAAGCAAAAAAUGGAGCAUAAAUUGAAUGAAAUUCAAUAUUUUUCAUUAAGAAGAAACAUUGGCAUAUAGCCAUUAUAUAUAUCAGUCAUUGAUUGAUCAAAACAAGACAAACAUCACCUAAUGCUUACCUAAUACCACUAGUUACAUGGAACACAUAAACAAAGCUGAUUUGUCAGCUCAAUCACCACCUAAUUACAUCAAUCAUGAAUCUAACAUAGUUCUAAAUGAACUAGAAUUCAUUACACCAACUAAGGUAACAAAAUGGAACUAGAUGGCAGUAGCUGCACUCGGUCUUACUGCUCCUCGAUGGCUUGGUGUGCAUAGCCAUCCUCUUGAUGCUGCAUGCUGACCAAUCUUCAACAAAUAUAAUAAUAGUUAACCCGGAAAAGCAAGUCAAAGACGAGAAGUAAAAUCGAAAACGAUUUACAGUACAAAAGUCUGAAAAGUCGAAUAUUAACAGUCUUUAAUUUUAACCAAUUUCAUAUUAUAACACAAUGAGUAGAUUUGUAAACAAAUAGAUUUUUCUAAUAAUACUGUUUUAAAUUUGAUUGCUUCACUUUUUGAUUCGCCGGAUAGUGUCAUACGGAAUAAGGUGUUAAUGACGAUGUGGAGUAUUUGGUUCUUUCGAAACAGGUUUUGUUAGAAGAAUGAGUCUAUAUCGGCUGCUGUUGUUUUAUCUUUCGACAUAUCCAAUCUGCAGGAUUGGUUGAGUGCAGAAUCGGUGUUUGAUAUAGCUCAAUGUGUUGCUGGUCACCUGCCUAAUGUUACUGGCCGUCGCCUGAGCAGUGGUGGCCGACGGUAGAUGAAGCCGCCUGAGAAUCGACUGAAACGCAACGUUGAUGCAGCAAGUUUUGGGGCGGAUCAGUCGACUAGCUUUGUAGCAGUGGUGAGGGACUCUAACGACGUUUUUGUUAAGGGUAAUACGGGUCAUUACUGAGCCAGCUUGGAGCCAAAGUUUGCUGAAGAUUUUGCGGUCUGUGAAGCUCUUUCUUGAUUGAAGGCUCGGUAUCAUGAUUGUGAGCGACAACCUCCAAGCGAUUUCAGCUCUGAAGCGGGUUGAUGACGAUGCCUCUGGUUUCAGUAUGUUUAUUUCAGCUCUUGCAUCUCAGUUUCAUAAUUUUUCUUUUUGUUGGACGAGACAGGAAGCAAGGCAGCUCAUAUAUUUAUGAGAGUAGUCUUAUCUUAUGCGACCCACUCUGAAUGGAAAAGUCAUCCUUCCAAUCAUUCCUUUAUUUUAAACCAUGAUUUUAUGUUUAAUUUAGACCAUGAAAGUAGAAGAUGUUUGGACCGAGAGUACAAGGUAAGCCAGUUGGCUUAGAACUUAGUUUUUAUCCUCUCUUUUAUCAAUUGCUGUUAUUAAUUUGGCAUCAUGAAAUUAUUUCUCCGUAAAAAAAGAUUAUUAUUUUUUAUAUUACAUAUAUAAUAACAUUGAAACACAAAUCUAAGCCCAACUAGAAUCAAUAAGCUUUGGCAUAAUAAAGCUACCAAAUUAUAUUUAUUCACUUAUUCUCAUAAUGAAAGUACAUGACAUAGUUAAUAAUGAGAUCACAGACAACUAGUGCUUCUUACAUGAAGGGAACACCAAUUUAUUUAGUUUAAUUUAAUUAAGUAUGCAACAUACACAAAUCUUCAAGCUUCCAUGGAGUUGUGGGGUUUUUCUCAAUUCAAGUGGUGAGAGGUUCUUCUUUGGUAUCAUAUUGGAUGUUGUAGUAAUUAGCACCAGUGAAAGUGUUACCAGUGACAUCAGUUGUGACAACGGUCCCAUUAUAAAGAGUGUCUUUUUGAGUGAAUACGAAGGGAACAUCACACGUGCCAUGCGUCAUCGAUAGAUACACCGUCACCUUAGUCAUCGGUGGCACAUGAGCUUGGUGGUUAACUUCCAUCACGGUGGUCGUUGUCUUUGUCUCUCCCCACUCGAUUCCUGCUUCGAGUUUGGCAGAUAUUUCGACACCCGCUUUACCGAUUAAUGGAACCCCUACUUCGAAG